UCAGCUGCGUAUCCACCAGCUCACCGCCGUUGCUUGACUGCAGGCGCGCCAAGGCACGCGUGCUGGCCCUGUGCGGCAAUGAGUCACUCUACCAAAGUAGACGAUGGCGCAGGGUGGCUAGGGCGCCACGGUGCGGAUGCAUACCCGUGCAGCGGCGAGGAGUCGGAGCUUGAUGAGGGAGACUGGGAGGAGGGAGAGGAGCAGGAGGAAGAGGAGGAGAGCGAUCGCUGCUCCAGCGACUCUUCUGGCGGAGACGAGAACGCCGACGGCAAGGAGGCGGAGGAGGAACCGGAGAGAGAGGAGCAGGAGGAAGACGAUCACGGUAGCAGCGGCGUUCUGGAGGAUGACGUGAAGACAGAGCCGCCAGUUGCUGCUGCCACCGGCAGCAGCGGCACCUUUGCCGCCACUUCGCCCUCCGCGGCUGCGUCGCUUGGUGGAGGAAGUGGGGGCAGCGCGUUCGGCGCUCUCGCUACGUCUGUCGAAGUGUCUCCGCCACCACCUGCGCCUUCGGUUUUCGCGGCUUCUCCCUUGGCGGCGGCUGCGGUGCCGCCUCAGCCGUUUUCGGCAAGGACGACACCCGCCUUUGCCAGCCACACUACGCUUCAAGAGCAGCGGCCGUUGAACACUGCCCCGGCUUCCACUUUUCAGCCAACCGCCGCUGCAUCAGAUGCAGCCACACAGCAGCAGCUAGACACGACUACGGCCCCCCUUCACUUUGUGGACUUCGAACGGUCGCUUGGACAGAAAUUGUCGAGCAGCGAAUGGCACCGCGCUCGCAGUAAGGCUGAUGAGGUGCAGGACGUGAAGCGCGCCCUUGCGCGGUACGACCUGGUGCUGCCAACAGAUAAAUUUGACGAGGCGAUCGAGAAAGCACUGUAUGGAAGCUGAGCGCGUCUGCCAUGUCUCUUGUGCGCGUGCGUGCGUAGACGUCCUCUCCCAACAACGUUGCAAGAGAAGACGAAUAGCAUGAUGUGUUGGAUUGCUACGUAUGUGUACUUUUUUUUGAGGGUGGGGGGCUGCCGAGGUGCGAUGCCGACGCACAGUCGCUGCUCAAAGCCGAAGAGAAAAAUGACGAAACACAUCAGCGACUUGGCGUCUGAUGAACUUGCAUGGCUGAAAAAGCUACGAUACGGAUAGCCACGAUGCAUGAGGACAGCGUGAGUUGAGCGCUCCUCCCUUUCCCCCAGUACCAUGAUGGCAGGACACUAACGGCUUUUCGCUUGCGUUUUUUUUUCUUGCCAACCGAUCAUGCAUCCCAUUUUCCUCAAAUCCUUGAUACCUUCACGCAUUUUUUUUUCAUGCCUGGGGUGCGUUCGCGCAUGAGCAUCAAACAG
rnacentral:misc_RNA from 1 species